GUACAGACUCCUCACAGGACACCGGCGGGAACUGGAGCCGGCUUGCCGAUGCUCUCACCGUGUUACGCUAACGCGCUAACGGGCCAGAAAUCGCUCAGGCCUCAGCUACGCGAUGCAAGAGGGCCGAACGGCAGAGUUUGUUGCCUUCCCACAUUGGUUGUGCGUCUGUCUUGUUGGGUGCGGUCUUUCAUUGAUUCUCAGUUGAAUUAUCAUUUGGCCAAACAUGAUACGGCCGAGCAAGACAGCGUUACUAGUGCUAACUUUAUAUGCUGGCGCUGUUAAGCCUGUUUCGGAUUCCGUCACACACAUAAGGAAUCCCAGUCACUAUAUCCGGAGUGCCUUGGCCGCAAAACAUCAAGCUUCACGUCACAUGUCAGCGAUCUGAAUCUGAUUCAAGAUCACGGGCUAUCUGUGGAUUGCUGGCUUUAUCCUUCAGGCAUAAUAAACUUUAAAACAACAGAUGCAGCGUGGCCCCUUCCCUCCUGCUGGCAAUUCUGGUACCAGAAUCACCCCAUUCAAUUCUGACAACCCUGAAGUGACUCACGGCUCCACACAAGAGUUGUAACACCAGAGCAGAGACAUAGGAGUAGAGCCAGGCCACUCGGCCCAUUGAGUCUGGUCUGCCAUUCCAUCGUGGCUGAUUUAUUAUCCCUCUUCAUUCCCAUCCUCCUGCCUUCUCCCCAUACACCUUUGAUGCCCUGACUAAUCAAGAACCUAUCAACCUCCGCCUUUAAUUUACCAGACGAAUUGGCCUCCACAGACGUCUGUGGCUAUGAAUUCCACCGAUUAACCACUCUCUGGCUAAAGAAAUUCCUCUUAACUCUGUUCUAAAUGGACGCCCCUCUGUUCUGAGGCUGUGUCCUCUGGUCCUAGAUUCCCCCACAUAGGAAACAUCCUCUCCACAUCCACUCCAUCUGUGUCCUCUGGUCCUAGACUCACCCACUAUAGGAAACAUCCUCUCCACAUCCACUCUAUCUGUGUCCUCUGGUCCUAGAUUCCCCCACUAUAGGAAACACCCUCUCCACAGCCAAUCUAUCUGUGUCCUCUGGUCCUAGACUCCCCCACUAUAGGAAACAUCCUCUCCACAUCCACUCUAUCUGUGUCCUCUGGUCCUAGAUUCCCCCACUAUAGGAAACAUCCUCUCCACCUGUGUCCUCUGGUCCCAGACUCCCCCACUAUAGGAAACAUCCUCUCCACAUCCACUCUAUCUGUGCCCUCUGGUCCUAGACUCCUCCACUAUAGGAAACAUCCUCUCCACAUCCACUCUAUCUGUGUCCUCUGGUCCCAGACUUCCCCACUACAGGAAACAUCCUCUCCACAUCCACUCUAUCGAGGCCUUUCAGUAUUCGACAGGUUUCAAUGUGAUCUCCUCCCAUUCUUCUGAACUCCAGUGAGUCCAGGCCCACAGCCAUCAAAUGCUUCUUAGAUGUUAACCCUUUCAUUCCUGGGAUCAUUCUCAUGAAGCUCCUCUGGAACCUCUUGCUGCCUCGGUAAAGCAGCCAGCCUAAUCAAAGACCCCCACCCACCCCGGGCACUCUCUCUUCUCCCCUCUCCCAUCCGGCAGAAGAUACAAAAGCCUGAAAGCUCGUCCCACCAGGCUCAGGGACAGAUUCUACCCUGCAGGUGUCAGACUCUUGAACGGACCUCUUGUUCGAUGAGAUGAACUACGGCCUCACAAUCUACCUUGUUCUGAUCUCGCACCUUACUGUCUGCCUGCACUGCACUCUCUCUGCAGCUGCGACAUUUUACUCUGGAUUCUGUUAUUGUUUUCCCUUGUUGCACUGCGUACUGAUCUGCUCUGUAUGAACAGUGUGCAAGACAAGCUUUUCACUGUAUCCUGGUACCUGUGACAACAGUAAGUCGAUUGCAAUACCCACCAUGGGUACUUACCUCCUGACUUAUUCAUCCCUCACCAGCCCCUCUCCCCCGCAAACCCUUCUCCUUCACCACAAUCCAGGACCCUACACGGUCCUGAUACCGAUACGGGUCUCCAUUGUGGACCAGGAGUGGGAAGGGGGCAGGGAGAGGAGAAUCACGGUUGGGAGAAGGGGAAGGGAGAGUGAGGGAGCGGGAGGCACCAGAGUGACAUUUUGUAAUGAUCAAUAAUUAUCUGGAAUCGUAUUAUUCAUUGAUAUCCUUUAUGAUUGGGAGUUUUGUCAAUCAAUUCUUUAGUUUUGUAUCUACUCAUGUUAAUUAUAAUGAUGUAUUCUCA